rnacentral:rRNA from 1 species
AGGGUGAUGCCUGCCCAAUGGUUGUAUCUAAAAGCGGUUGAUAAAAGUUGACCUCGUAAGGACAAUUGAAUGGCCGCGGUAACACUGACCGUGAUAAUGUAGCGUAAUCAAUAGCCAAUUAAUUGUUGGCCAGUAUGAAUGGCGCCACGAAGGCCCCACUGUCUUAAGGAAAUUCCCAGUGAAAUUGAAUUCGUAGUGAAGAUGCUACGUCCAAUUUGUUAGACGAAAAGACCCCGUUGAGCUUUACUGGAGCACUUACAUGGCCCCGGCCUUCCCAUGCCUGGGAACCGGCCGAAUUUAAAUGGGCGGCUUAGAUUAUGUGGCAGCCCCCCGCUGGGGCAAAUGAAACACCACUCCCCCAUGUCAAAGGGGCUAACCCCCCCCCUUGGGGGGACAGUGUAAGUAGGACAGUUUGGUUGGGGCGACCACCUUUUAAAAAGUAACGAAGGUGCGCUUAAGGUGCGCAAUUAAUGACUGAAGCCUGACUGCGAGGGGGACACCCCGAGCAGACACCCCAAAGCCCGCCCGAAAGG